rnacentral:lncRNA from 1 species
AACAGGUUAGUAACUAGCUAACAGACUUCAGGGAAUUUAGCCCACUGGCAUUAGCAGCUUUGAGAACAUCAGAUAAUUUAAAUAUCAGCAUUCUGAAAGAGGAUUCCAGUUCGUGUGGUGGGAAAGCAACCCCUUGCUGUGGCUUCAUUGUCAACAAGAAAGGCCCAAGAUCUUGGGACCCACACCUGAUGUGAGUUGAGCCUGCCACCUCCCAGCUACCUGGAGCACCAUAACUGGCCUUGCUGAGUGUAUAGAAUCCAAGGGGAAAGACUACUCAUGAGAAGUAUUGUUUAUCCCGUCCAAAAGAGAAACGUCCACCAAAGAAGGCUUUCAUUAUCUCAUCCAUCAGAGGCAAAAGCUAGGAAGCAGAGCAAUACUUUUAAGUGGGAAGAAGUUUCUAAGUUAUGGCUGGCAGAGAAAGGAGGGGAAGCAAGGGAUGUUGUCCUGGUUGUUCUGCUCACUUUGUCCUGCUUGAGAAAACCCCUGGCCUCUCAUACAUUCUCCUUUUACAAUAUCACUGAGUAUAUGGCCUCCUUCUGUGCCAAUUCUAAUUUAAACUCUAUUCAGUUCCCAUGUCUCUUCCUUACAUUAUCCCUUUUAGGACCAUUAAACUAUUUUUAUCAGCCCAUCCCUAGGUCCUGUCUAAAUUUCAUAUUUCCUGAGUCAAAGAAUCCCAAUAAAUAACUCCUAUGACCAAAAUCAACUCUAUGAAAAUUAGAUUUUCCAGCAAUGGAGAAACCACCCCACUAUGUCUCAUACACAGCUUGUGACCCACUGCAAUUCUGAGCUCUUCUUUCUUCUUCAGGAAAUAGUUUAUUCCUCUCUCCUGGGUGACUACUCU